UGAUGCUGUGUUCUUUAUUUCGUGUGCGUGAGUUAUCGUUAAUAAACCAAAAAGCCAAAAAAAAAAAAAAAAAAAAAAAAAAAAAAAAAAAAAGAUUCUUUCGCCUUUUACUAAAGAAUUCCGUGGAGAGGAGCAGUUCAAUGAGUCUUCAACAUUUUUCGAUAUCCGACUUUGGUCGGUUU
rnacentral:snRNA from 1 species